rnacentral:lncRNA from 1 species
CCCGGCCCGGCCCCGCGCUGCUCGGCUCCUCUCCCCAUCGCUGCAGGCCUCCCUCCCUCCGCCGGCGCCUCGCGGUCAGCACUUUCACCCGUUGGAGCGUGAGGCCUCGGGAAUUUUAUGACACGGUCCCUUGUAUUUUAUUUCUUAAAUAAAUUCUUUGCUUGUUAUUUAUGAAGAAAAAUAUUCUAUGCCUUUAGCUCUUUAUGAAACCCAAUUUUUUAAAAAAAGUCAUUCCGUGCAUUUAGUGGCUAUUGCAUUUGAGAAGCUGGAGUAAUGAUGUCUAAGAUGUAAAGCCUAUCAUGAGCUAUUAGCUACUUCGACUUGUGUAUAGUAAUUAAAACAGCAUUAACUGGUGAGCAGCCACAGCCAUCCAUCCCGAGCGGAGCCGUUCUGCUGACUCGGCACGGCGCGCGGUGCCGACGCGGCGUGAGCCCUUGCUGGGGGCCACGGACAAUGGCUGAGCCGCACAAAGGAAGCAGCUUAUGGGGAUUUUUAGAAGCUUUCGGAAUUAACAUUUAGAGCACAAUGGGCUUUUUCAGCGCAUAUUAGUCAGACCAAAACCUGUAUCUUCACUUCUCUAAAGAAAAGCAGCCGUCUCUUAGCUCCAGUGUUCGGAGAUAAGUGCUGCCCGCGCAUUAGCAUGCAUGCACUCCUAAUUUUUUUAGGUUUUCGGUGGCUCUGAAUGACCACUCUAACAUCACUAACAAGGGAAGGUAACCCCGCUCUCCACGGCACAAUCGCGGAGGAAUGCAAAUCCCCGCUAUUCCGAGCACUUCUCCCAGCGCCGAGGAGGAAGAAUGGGACCACCUUAAGCCCUUCUGAAAGGCUCCGGCUCAAAGCACCUUUUGCAAAACGUACGUGAUAAUCGGAGAGGCAAACGCAGAAGAUGGGGUGCCCUGCACGGGUCGGCGUUCGCAGCACCCUCCCGCGGGACGGGGCGCAAACCCCCGUCCGUGGCGACGAGCCGGCCCGGCGCAGCAGGGCCUCGGCGGGGCUGGAGCGCGGGAAGCAGCACAGACGCCGUUUUCGGAGGG